rnacentral:rRNA from 1 species
GAUGAACGCUGGCGGCGUGCUUAACACAUGCAAGUCGAACGGAAGGCCCAAGCUUGCUUUGGUACUCGAGUGGCGAACGGGUGAGUAACACGUGGGUGAUCUGCCCUGCACUUCGGGAUAAGCCUGGGAAACUGGGUCUAAUACCGGAUAGGACGAUGGUUUGGAUGCCAUUGUGGAAAGUUUUUUCGGUGUGGGAUGAGCUCGCGGCCUAUCAGCUUGUUGGUGGGGUAAUGGCCUACCAAGGCGUCGACGGGUAGCCGGCCUGAGAGGGUGUACGGCCACAUUGGGACUGAGAUACGGCCCAGACUCCUACGGGAGGCAGCAGUGGGGAAUAUUGCACAAUGGGCGCAAGCCUGAUGCAGCGACGCCGCGUGGGGGAUGACGGCCUUCGGGUUGUAAACUCCUUUCGCUAGGGACGAAGCGUUUUUGUGACGGUACCUGGAGAAGAAGCACCGGCUAACUACGUG